CUCUUAUCGAGAGCGGUGGAGGGACUGGCCCUGUGAAACCGCGGCAACCGGAAAAGAGAGUCUUUUCGUCAAGGUGCCAAUCCCAGCCCUUUGAAGCGUAAGGGAAGGAUGAGAG
rnacentral:ncRNA from 2 species